rnacentral:rRNA from 1 species
GGAAUUGCUAGUAAUGGCAGGUCAGCAUACUGCCGUGAAUACGUUCCCGGGCCUUGUACACACCGCCCGUCACACCAUGAGAGUUGGGAAUACCCGAAGCCUGUGAGCUAACUUUUAGAGGCAGCAGUCGAAGGUAGAGCCAAUGAUUGGGGUGAAGUCGUAACAAGGUAAC